rnacentral:tRNA from 1 species
AAAGCUUUAAGUUAAAAAAACUAUUAACCUUCAAAGUUAAAUAUAUAAAUUAUUAUAAGCUUUA